UUCAGUGGGCGGAGCUUCGCGGUGGUACCCCAGGGUCCGUUCGGAAGCCCCGUGCCUCACCGGGACUCAUUCGCACUCAACUUCUCCACCGCGGCGCCUCAUGGACUCAUGCUGUGGCGAGGGCAGCCUGACGCCCCCGUUGAGGAUUUCUUGGGCGUGGGCAUAGCAAGUGGGCGUGUGAAAGUUGUAUGGCAUUUGGGCGGAGAUGGAGUCGGCCAGUUGCAAGUGGAAGAGCGCGUGGCGGACGGGUCGUGGCACAGCCUGGUGGUGACGCGAGCGGGGGCGGUCGUGACGGUGUAC
rnacentral:lncRNA from 1 species